rnacentral:rRNA from 1 species
AUUGAACGCUGGCGGCAGGCCUAACACAUGCAAGUCGAACGGUAACAGGAAGAUGCUUGCUUCUUUGCUGACGAGUGGCGGACGUGUGAGUAAUGUCUGGGAAACUGCCUGAUGGAGGGGGAUAACUACUGGAAACGGUAGCUAAUACCGCAUAACGUCGCAAGACCAAAAAGGGGGACCUUCGGGCCUCUUGCCAUCGGAGGUGCCCAGAUGGGAUUAGCUAGUAGGUGGGGUAACGGCUCACCUAGGCGACGAUCCCUAGCUGGUCUGAGAGGAUGACCAGCCACACUGGAACUGAGACACGGCCCAGACUCCUACGGGAGGCAGCAGUGGGGAAUAUUGGACAAUGGGGGCAAGCCUGAUGCAGCCAUGCCGCGUGUAUGAAGAAGGCCUUCGGGUUGUAAAGUACUUUCAGCGGGGAGGAAGGGAGUAGAGUUAAUACCUUUGCUCAUUGACGUUACCCGCAGAAGAAGCACCGGCUAACUCCGUG